rnacentral:tRNA from 1 species
CCUGAUGGCUCAGAUGGUAAAGAAUCUGUCUGCAAUGCAGGAGACCCAGGUUUGAUCCCUGGGUCAGGA